GACGAACGCUGGCGGCGUGCUUAACACAUGUCAGUCGAACGGAAAGGCCCUGCUUUUGUGGGGUGCUCGAGUGGCGAACGGGUGAGUAACACGUGAGUAACCUGCCCUUGACUUUGGGAUAACUUCAGGAAACUGGGGCUAAUACCGGAUAGGAGCUCCUGCUGCAUGGUGGGGGUUGGAAAGUUUCGGCGGUUGGGGAUGGACUCGCGGCUUAUCAGCUUGUUGGUGGGGUAGUGGCUUACCAAGGCUUUGACGGGUAGCCGGCCUGAGAGGGUGACCGGCCACAUUGGGACUGAGAUACGGCCCAGACUCCUACGGGAGGCAGCAGUGGGGAAUAUUGCACAAUGGGCGGAAGCCUGAUGCAGCAACGCCGCGUGCGGGAUGACGGCCUUCGGGUUGUAAACCGCUUUCGCCUGUGACGAAGCGUGAGUGACGGUAAUGGGUAAAGAAGCACCGGCUAACUACGUG
rnacentral:rRNA from 1 species